AAAAAAUCUCAUUUAGUUUUUACAUCUGCCCUGUAAGGAAGAAAAUGCUUCUGUUUUCCACGUGGGAAACCUGCAGCUCAGCAAGCUCUUCAGACCUGCACUCCCGGCGCCCAGGACCAGGUCAGGCCCUGCUAUGACUCACUUUGGAAAACCAGACUUGGACUCCUGCAGCCAUUACACCUGCCUAGAAUCCAACACAGAGAAGCACAAUUGGAGUUUGGAGUGAGUGUGGCUACAAUGAAGAGGAAGGAGGGUUUUCUAUGAAAGAGGAGCUAUUACAACUGAUAUCACAGAAAUACAAAGGGUCAUAAGCAGUAACUGUGAACAAUUACACUCCAACAAUUGGACAACCUAGAAGAAAUGGAUAAACUCCUAGAAACAUACCGCCUACCAAGACUGAAUCAUGAAUAAAUGGAAAAUCUGAAUACUAGUAAGGAAAUUGAAUCAGUAAUCCAAAACCUCCCCCAAACAAAAGCCCCAGACCAGAUGGCUCCAUUGGUGAAUUCUACCAAACAUUCAAAGAAGAAUGAAUA